rnacentral:misc_RNA from 1 species
GAUGAAGAACGUAGCGAAAUGCGAUACGUAAUGUGAAUUGCAGAAUUCAGUGAAUCAUCGAGUCUUUGAACGCACAUUGCGCCCCCUGAUAUUCCGGGGGGCAUGCCUGUCCGAGCGUCAUUGCUGCCCUCAAGCACGGCUUGUGUGUUGGGCCUCCGUCCUCCUCCCGGGGGACGGGCCCGAAAGGCAGCGGCGGCACCGCGUCCGGUCCUCGAGCGUAUGGGGCUUCGUCACCCGCUCUUGUAGGCCCGGCCGGCGCUUGCCGACACAUCAAUCUUUUUUCCAGGUUGACCUCGGAUCAGGUAGGGAUACCCGCUGAACUUAAGCAUAUCAUAAGCGGAGG